ACCGCAUACGAUCCUACGGGAGAAAGCAGGGGUACCUUCGGGCCUUGCGCUAUCAGAUGAGCCUAGGUCGGAUUAGCUAGUUGGUGAGGUAAUGGCUCACCAAGGCGACGAGCCGGAACUGGUCUGAGAGGAUGAUCAGUCCCACUGGAACUGAGACACGGUCCAGACUCCUACGGGAGGCAGCAGUGGGGAAUAUUGGACAAUGGGCGAAAGCCUGAUCCAGUCCAUGCCG
rnacentral:rRNA from 1 species